UAGGGAAUCUUCGGCAAUGGACGGAAGUCUGACCGAGCAACGCCGCGUGAGUGAAGAAGGUUUUCGGAUCGUAAAGCUCUGUUGUAAGAGAAGAACGAGUGUGAGAGUGGAAAGUUCACACUGUGACGGUAUCUUACCAGAAAGGGACGGCUAACUACGUGCCAGCAGCCGCGGUAAUACGUAGGUCCCGAGCGUUGUCCGGAUUUAUUGGGCGUAAAGCGGGCGCAGGCGGUUAGAUAAGUCUGAAGUUAAAGGCUGUGGCUUAACCAUAGUAGGCUUUGGAAACUGUUUAACUUGAGUGCAAGAGGGGAGAGUGGAAUUCCAUGUGUAGCGGUGAAAUGCGUAGAUAUAUGGAGGAACACCGGUGGCGAAAGCGGCUCUCUGGCUUGUAACUGAUGCUGAGGCUCGAAAGCGUGGGGAGCAAACAGGAUUAGAUACCCUGGUAGUCCACGCUGUAAACGAUGAGUGCUAGGUGUUAGACCCUUUCCGGGGUUUAGUGCCGUAGCUAACGCAUUAAGCACUCCGCCUGGGGAGUACGACCGCAAGGUUG
rnacentral:rRNA from 1 species